GACGGGGGUGCAAGUGUUAUCCGGAAUCACUGGGCGUAAAGCGUCUGCAGGUGGUUUCCUAAGUCCACUGUUAAACCUUGAGGCUCAACCUCAAAUCUGCAUUGGAAACUAGGAGACUUGAGUAUAGUAGGGGUAGAGGGAAUUUCCAGUGGAGCGGUGAAAUGCGUAGAUAUUGGAAAGAACACCGAUGGCGAAGGCACUCUACUGGGCUAUUACUGACACUCAGAGACGAAAGCUAGGGGAGCAAUGGG
rnacentral:rRNA from 1 species